rnacentral:rRNA from 1 species
AGUGAACGCUGGCGGUAGGCCUAACACAUGCAAGUCGAACGGCAGCACAGUAAGAGCUUGCUCUUACGGGUGGCGAGUGGCGGACGGGUGAGGAAUACAUCGGGAUCUACUUUUUCGUGGGGGAUAACGUAGGGAAACUUACGCUAAUACCGCAUACGACGUACGGGUGAAAGCAGGGGAUCUUCGGACCUUGCGCGAUUGAAUGAGCCGAUGUCGGAUUAGCUAGUUGGCGGGGUAAAGGCCCACCAAGGCGCCGAUCCGUAGCUGGUCUGGGAGGAUGAUCGGCGACACUGGAACUGAGACACGGUCCAGACUCCUACGAGAGGCAGCAGUGGGGAAUAUUGGACAAUGGGCGCAAGCCUGAUCCAGCCAUACCGCGUGGGUGAAGAAGGCCUUCGGGUUGUAAAGCCCUUUUGUUGGGAAAGAAAAGCAGCAGGUUAAUACCCCGCUGUUCUGACGGUACCCAAAGAAUAAGCACCGGCUAACUUCGUG